UCACUGAAAUGAACCAAAACGCGAAAAACAGCCUUAAAUUCCUUUUCUUUCAAAACUGUGCGUGAGAGAACCACUGCCUUCUUCCUCAACAAUCGACCACCACCCGCUACCUAGACCACCAGACCCCACUACCAUUCGAACCUCCUUGUCUCCUUCUUCAACCUCUUGUUAUCACCUGCCCACGAAAUUGCCGCAAUUACCACCCAAAAUCGCGCUAACAGUCAUCGUUUUCGCCAUAUUUCCACUACUGUCGGCCACCGUUUCGAUUGCGGACCAUCACCACUCCACUUCUUUCAACCAGGCGCAAUCCAGUACCACCAUGGGUCAACUACAAUUUUGUCCAGAAUCGAGUGUGCUUGUGAAAGUAGUCCGUGAGCUGUGAAAUAGAUUCGGUCCCAACAAAAUUGAUGAAAUUUUAUUGAUGGGCACAGCUCAGUUGGAGUGUUGGCAGGAGGCAAAACCAUGUGAAUUUUGUAAUAAAGCAACAGAAGAAUCGUCUAGAAGGAAAUAAUUAGAAUUUUGCUUGUUUAGCGGGUUGGUUUAUUCUGCAUUUAUCUGUGUAAAUUAGUUAGGGUCUUAGGGAGAGAUUCUUUUUCUGGAUUUGCUGUUUAUAUUUCCACUACUGUGUAUUCUUUUCUUCAUUGAAUCAAAUUGUUAGAAAUUAUCAAGUCUAUCCAUUGUUAGAAUGUGCUGUGAUUUGGAUUAAUGUGUUGUGCUAUGAUUUGGAAUGUCAUGCUAUGAUUUGGAUU